rnacentral:rRNA from 2 species
ACGCUGGCGGCGUGCCUAAUACAUGCAAGUCGAGCGGACGGAUGGGAGCUUGCUCCCUGAAGUCAGCGGCGGACGGGUGAGUAACACGUGGGCAACCUGCCUGUAAGACUGGGAUAACUUCGGGAAACCGGAGCUAAUACCGGAUAAUGCAUAACCUCUCAUGAGGUUAUGCUGAAAGAUGGUUUCGGCUAUCACUUACAGAUGGGCCCGCGGCGCAUUAGCUAGUUGGUGAGGUAACGGCUCACCAAGGCAACGAUGCGUAGCCGACCUGAGAGGGUGAUCGGCCACACUGGGACUGAGACACGGCCCAGACUCCUACGGGAGGCAGCAGUAGGGAAUCUUCCGCAAUGGACGAAAGUCUGACGGAGCAACGCCGCGUGAGUGAUGAAGGUUUUCGGAUCGUAAAACUCUGUUGUUAGGGAAGAACAAGUGCCGGAGUAACUGCCGGCACCUUGACGGUACCUAACCAGAAAGCCACGGCUAACUACGUGCCAGCAGCCGCGGUAAUACGUAGGUGGCAAGCGUUGUCCGGAAUUAUUGGGCGUAAAGCGCGCGCAGGCGGUCUCUUAAGUCUGAUGUGAAAGCCCACGGCUCAACCGUGGAGGGUCAUUGGAAACUGGGGGACUUGAGUGCAGAAGAGGAAAGUGGAAUUCCACGUGUAGCGGUGAAAUGCGUAGAGAUGUGGAGGAACACCAGUGGCGAAGGCGACUUUCUGGUCUGUAACUGACGCUGAGGCGCGAAAGCGUGGGGAGCAAACAGGAUUAGAUACCCUGGUAGUCCACGCCGUAAACGAUGAGUGCUAAGUGUUAGAGGGUUUCCGCCCUUUAGUGCUGCAGCAAACGCAUUAAGCACUCCGCCUGGGGAGUACGGCCGCAAGGCUGAAACUCAAAGGAAUUGACGGGGGCCCGCACAAGCGGUGGAGCA